rnacentral:rRNA from 1 species
UACAGAGGUCCCAAGCGUUGUUCGGAUUCACUGGGCGUAAAGGGUGCGUAGGCGGUCGGGUAAGUCUGAUGUGAAAUCUCACAGCUUAACUGUGAAACUGCAUUGGAUACUAUCCGGCUCGAGGAAUGGAGGGGAGACUGGAAUACUUGGUGUAGCGGUGAAAUGCGCAGAUAUCAGGAGGAACACCGGUGGCGAAGGCGGGUCUCUGGGCAACAACUGACGCUGAGGAGCGAAAGCGUGGGGAGCGAACAGG